CAACGGCAAACCAACGAAUCAAGAGUUGGUGGUCUUUCUUCAGAAAGCAAAGGACUCAGUUCUGGAUUGAUGUCUUCAGUGACCUGAGAGAGAGGCACCUUUUCAACGGCAGCCAUGAGCACAAGUGCCUCAUACGGUAUGCCUUCCUGGCCGUCUUGCAGAAAGAGCUUGAUGAGUAGAGACAACUUUGGAACAACCACACCAUCCGACCUGUUCGUCAAUCUCGUUGUCCAUCGCGUAAACCAGAAGCCAUGUACCACCUGCCUGACAGGUUUGACGGAAGGGAAUGUGGAUUCCCAGUGUCCCAGGAAGCCCUACACCAGUUUGAUGACUUUCUGCCAGCUCCGCGCAGUCUGUGUGGUGAUGUUGAUCUCCAAAGUCAUUUUGCAGACUUGGAGAGACAGAAUGGGCUUGCUCUACCACUCCACUGGACAACUGCUGUUGUGAAUUACAUAUCACUCAAGAAUAUGUCUGGACUUUAGAAUCUUCAGCUCCUGGUUCUGCAACAUAA